CAAAUUGUAUUGUCCGGUACGGAUAAAUACACUACUGCACAUGGCCCACUCACACGGCUGUUCCUGCAUCACCGCACCAAUCAGCCUUGGAUGCUCUCUGUGGGUGGACCAAGUCCUGUUUUCUUCUUGGGAGUAUUCUUGGAUGUAUCCAGACUCAGGGGUAGACUACUAACAAUCGAGGGCGGACUGUUCUGUGGACUGUGUGUCUUAUGCUGUGCAGUGUACACAGGGCUGUCUGUCACCCGUGCACUUAGGACGUACUACUCGAGGCUGUUUCAGAAUUGUCUUGUCUCACCUUCACCUUGAAUGCGACACCAAGUCAUACGAGUACCUACUACAUACAUCCGUAGUAACUUAACGUCCUAUUAGUAUCUCAGUCGUGCUAAUGCCCCUAUUUUCUGCCUUCAUCAUCUUGUCUCCGAGCGUCGAGAUAUUCAUUCGGUUAAUCUACACUCUCAGUCAACUAGUGCAACCUCAAACCUGAUGUCCUCUUGCUAAGUUGCUAAGACCAGUCUCCAUAAUUAAGGCCCCAUAAUAAUGUUUAGAAAGUAGAAGAUAUACUCCGUAUUCCGUAAUCCAUACAUGACCGUCCACGAUCAGACCAGCUAUGAUGAUUCAAGAGUCAGUACACCGUAGAGCCACCCGGUAAGCCUACUGCUACAUUGCGUUGCCGGUCGGC
rnacentral:lncRNA from 1 species